rnacentral:rRNA from 1 species
UACGUAGGGGGCAAGCGUUGUCCGGAAUCAUUGGGCGUAAAGCGCGUGUAGGCGGUUCAGUAAGUCUGCUGUGAAAGUCCAGGGCUCAACCCCUGGGAUGCCGGUGGAUACUGCUGGGCUAGAGUACGGAAGAGGCGAGUGGAAUUCCCGGUGUAGCGGUGAAAUGCGCAGAUAUCGGGAGGAACACCUAUUGCGAAGGCAGCUCGCUGGGGACGUUUACUGACGCUGAGACGCGAAAAAGCGUGGGGGGAGCAAAAACAGG